AGUGGCCCAAUCCCAAAGUCCGGACUCACAGACUCAUGGACUUUGGUGUGCGUUCUCGCAAAAUUUACUGAAAAACUUCC